ACCUGGUUGAUCCUGCCAGUAGUCAUAUGCUUGUCUC
rnacentral:rRNA from 1 species